AUUGCCAAUUACUAUAAUUAAAUCACCAACGUCAAUCAUUUCUCCUAAGAAGCCUAAAGAGUCGAGAUUCUGAACUUCAGUAUUGCCUGCCUAAGACAAGCUAUCCAUUGCCGAAUUCUAUAUCUGCAACAGUUAGAUAUAGUCAGCUUUCUGCUACGAUUAAUACAGUUGUAAGGUAUCGAUAAGGACAUUUUAUUUCUUGAGUAAGUUGCUUGCUCUAAAUAUCCAUAGAGAUUGUACGUUGAAAAAUAUGCAACGUAAUUAUCCCACGGAAAAACACACAGUUACUUUUACAUAACAGAACAAAUCGUUUAGACUUGAUAUUUUAACGAGCUUCCUUAAAAGCUACAAAUGCUGUUGAUUUCCUGAUGAUGAACACUAGACUGACACGGUAAGUGGAUAAAAAGUAUAACAAUUCAUUUUACUAAUUGGCAAGUACAAAACCGCAUCACCUUGUAUGUUCCCAACUAAAUCAGAUUUACGGAUUAUCUCUGUAAGUCUCCCACUAAAGCAUGAUGGUGUAUAUUCUCACCUAGGAAUCUCUUCGUACCGUGUUAAUGGCGUCUAUGAAGCUCAUAGAUCGCUGCAUCAGUGCGACCUGGUAUACGUACCGGAAAUCCCUUGUUUUACUCUUAUAUCUUUUCAAAGCGAAACGUCGAAAAAAUCGGCUUGGUCGACCAUCCCCUCUACUAAAUAGGGUCUUAGUCCCGAUUACUACACGUUGGAGAAGUUGGUGAAGGAAGCAGUUCUAUUUUUCUUUUUAUUUGUUUUUGAAGGCCAAGCAACUCGGGCUAAAUAGAGCCAACAGUGUGUUUAUUCUUUUAUAGCUGGUCAACCUUGUAUAGAAAGCCAUGGUUACCUUUAAGUCACGCUAAAUUCUGGUCUGGAUAUAGCAGACGACGGCGUCCUCUUGUUCUGUUUGCAUUGGUAAAAUUGCGCCACCGCAGACUGUCUACUCACAUCGCGUUUUAACGGCUUUUUAUCUGAACAGAAAAAGCGAGCGACAAGAGCCCUGAUGCUAAGCAGCGACGAUCAGGCAAAAGGACCGAAAUUGUCUUGUAUUGAUUAUAUUCAAAUACGACGUCUCAACAACGAACGAUUCGAGAUGGUUACUUCCACUUCCACUGCAGCGACACCAUCAUCACCAGCACCGGUUUGCUGUACAAGAUGCGGGCCUUGGACGCUGUUACAGCUAAUAUUUAGCAUGUCAUCACAGUCGACGGGGCCGUGGCCGCCGUGGUAGUUGCAAUCGUCAACGAAGAACGACGAACUACGGACACAAGAUGAAUCUGGCGGGAUCUGCUGUUGAUGGGGUGGCUGGCAGAGAAGACGAUGAAUUCUGAACGGAUUUUUUUUCUAGAUACAUAUCGAUCGCGCACUACUUCUUGAGCUGUACAUCCCGCUCGUUUAUGCUGCCCGUAUGUUGAAGCAAUGGAAACAGUAAACAAACCAUUUAACUAAAAAAACGACAGGAAAAAAGAAAGAAAAGACAAUAACAAGCGUGUCAGUUCAAUACGACGAUGUUUAUAUCGGUGUGGUGUCCUGCCAUAUGAUACCUGUUAAAGGAGACAUGGUACGCGAAUGUGCCUAUCUUAGAAAAAUGUGCCAUAGUGGUAACAAAAUGCUGGUCUGAUAUACAUCUAGUGGAUAGAUCGGUCGCAAGUAAAAUAUAUUACACAGGACCAACCAAAAACCACCAGAUAAAUAACUUCAAGGUGAUGGGUGAGGAAGCUAGACAAGCAACAGAACGAAUAAAGCUAUGGUUACAUAGAACUCAAUUAUAGGGAUAUAUUUUCCCAUUUGUAAUUGCUGGCUGAACAAGCGCCCAAUACAAAACUAACCAAAAGUAUGGCAUAAAAGCUUACUCUUGGUAAUGAAAUAGAAGUUUAACGUGGUAUGCAAAUAUCACACGUGACCGGAAAAUUACCACAUAGUAGCCUACUAAAUGGCGUCGUAUAUGCGGUUAAUGUUCCAGUA